GGUUCACUAUUAGUUUGCUGUUCUGUCAGGUUCACUAUUAGUUUGCUGUUCUGUCAGGUUCACUAAUAGUUUGCUGUUCUGUCAGGUUCACUAUUAGUUUGCUGUUCUGUCAGGUUCACUAUUAGUUUGCUGUUCUGUCGGGUUCACUAAUAGUUUGCUGUUCUGUCAGGUUCACUAUUAGUUUGCUGUUCUGUCAGGUUCACUAUUAGUUUGCUGUUCUGUCGGGUUCACUAUUAGUUUGCUGUUCUGUCGGGUUCACUAUUAGUUUGCUGUUCUGUCGGGUUCACUAUUAGUUUGCUGUUCUGUCAGGUUCACUAUUAGUUUGCUGUUCUGUCGGGUUCACUAUUAGUUUGCUGUUCUGUCGGGUUCACUAUUAGUUUGCUGUUCUGUCAGGUUCACUAUUAGUUUGCUGUUCUGUCAGGUUCACUAUUAGUUUGCUGUUCUGUCGGGUUCACUAUUAGUUUGCUGUUCUGUCGGGUUCACUAUUAGUUUGCUGUUCUGUCAGGUUCACUAUUAGUUUGCUGUUCUGUCAGGUUCACUAUUAGUUUGCUGUUCUGUCAGGUUCACUAUUAGUUUGCUGUUCUGUCAGGUUCACUAUUAGUUUGCUGUUCUGUCGGGUUCACUAUUAGUUUGCUGUUCUGUCGGGUUCACUAUUAGUUUGCUGUUCUGUCGGGUUCACUAUUAGUUUGCUGUUCUGUCGGGUUCACUAUUAGUUUGCUGUUCUGUCGGGUUCACUAUUAGUUUGCUGUUCUGUCGGGUUCACUAUUAGUUUGCUGUUCUGUCAGGUUCACUAUUAGUUUGCUGUUCUGUCAGGUUCACUAUUAGUUUGCUGUUCUGUCGGGUUCACUAUUAGUUUGCUGUUCUGUCGGGUUCACUAUUAGUUUGCUGUUCUGUCAGGUUCACUAUUAGUUUGCUGUUC